GUCUCUUGACUGCGAGAGGCGUGGCGAACGGCUCAGUAACACGUAGCCAACCUAACCUAAGACGUGGACAACCCCGGGAAACUGGGAUUAAUCCACGAUAGAUCAAGGCACCUGGAAUGGGCUUUGGUCCAAAAGGAUGAGUAAGCAUGUUUUAUUUAUCUGCUCUAGAUGGGGCUGCGGCCGAUCAGCUGUUGGUGGGGUAAUGGCCCACCAAACCUAUAACCGGUACGGGCUUUGAGAGAAGAGCCCGGAGAUGGACACUGAGAUAAGGUCCAGUCCUACGGGGCGCAGCAGGCGCGAAACCUUCGCAAUGCGCGAAAGCGUGACGAGGUUACUUCGAGUGCCACCCGCUGAGGGUGGCUUUUCCCAAAUCUAAAAAGCUUGGGGAAUAAGGGAGGGUAAGUCUGGUGUCACCGACGCGGUAAUACCAGGAUCCCCGAGUGGUCGGGACGUUUAUUGGGCCUAAAGCAUCCGUAGCUGGUCUUGUAGGUCUCCUGUUAACCCAACGGCCCAACCGUUGGACUGCAAGAGAUACGCAGGACUAGAGGCGAGAGAGGCGGACGGUACUCCAUGGGUAGUGGCAAAAUAUUUUGAUCCAUGGAAGACACCAUGGCGAAGCGGUCCGCAAACGCGCUCGAGGUGAGGAUGAAAGCUGGGGGAGCGAACCGGAUUAGAUACCCGGGUAGUCCCAGCCGUAAACGAUGCGAGCUAGGUGAUGGACGUGGCUGAGUGCUAUUCCAGUGCCGCAGGGCAAGCCGUUCAAGCUCGCCGACAUGGGGAGAUACGAGUCGCACAGACUGAAAACCUUAAAGGAAUUG
rnacentral:rRNA from 1 species